GAUGAACGCUGGCGGCGUGCCUAAUACAUGCAAGUCGAACGCGCAGCGGAAGGUGCUUGCACCUUUCAAGCGAGUGGCGAACGGGUGAGUAACACGUGGAUAACCUGCCUCAAGGCUGGGGAUAACAUUUGGAAACAGAUGCUAAUACCGAAUAAAACUUAGUAUCGCAUGAUACAACGUUAAAAGGCGCUACGGCGUCACCUAGAGAUGGAUCCGAGGUGCAUGAGUUAGUUGGUGGGGUAAAGGCUUACCAAGACGAUGAUGCAUAGCCGAGUUGAGAGACUGAGCGGCCACAUUGGGACUGAGACACGGCCCAAACGCCUACGGGAGGCUGCAGGAGGGAAGCUUCCACAAUGGGCGCAAGCCUGAUGGAGCAACGCCGCGUGUGUGAUGAAGGCUUUCGGGUCGUAAAGCACUGUUGUAUGGGAAGAAAUGCUAAAAUAGGGAAUGAUUUUAGUUUGACGGUACCAUACCAGAAAGGGACGGCUAAAUACGUGCCAGCAGCCGCGGUAA
rnacentral:rRNA from 1 species